rnacentral:rRNA from 1 species
AGAAUGAACGUUGGCGGCGUGGAUUAGGCAUGCAAGUCGUACGGGCCGCAAGGCCAGUGGCGCAAGGGUGAGUAAGGCGACGGUAACCAACCCCAUGACUGGGUAUAGCCGCGGGAAACUGCGGGUAAUCCCCAGCGACGUCUCCGGGGGGCAUCCCCUGGAGACCAAAGCUCAGGCGUCGUGGGACGGGCCGUCGUGGUAUUAGGUUGUUGGCGGGGUAAUGGCCCACCAAGCCUGCGAUGCCUACCGGGCGUGCGAGCGCGACCCGGCACACUGGGACUGAGACACUGCCCAGACUCCUACGGGAGGCUGCAGUCGAGAAUCUUCGGCAAUGGGCGCAAGCCUGACCGAGCGACGCCGCGUGGAGGAUGAAGGCCUUCGGGUUGUAAACUCCUGUCGAGGGGAAAGAGGCCGGGUAACCGGCUUGACUGAUCCCUGGGAGGAAGGCACGGGCUAAGGUUCGUGCCAGCAGCCGC